rnacentral:lncRNA from 1 species
AGCAAUCAAAUUUUCACGACAGCCAUGAUUGUGAACACUGUCGACAAUAGCACAGGAAGAUUAAGUGUCGAGAGACUCGAAUAUCCUUUUAACCAUACAACAUAAAGCAUUACAUAUACAUACAAAAAGUACUCUUUAUUUUUGCACUAUAGUUACGGGAGGUAGCUGGGUAAUUAUUAGCAGUUCCUUGAGUACCAGCAGCUUAAUGUUGGUUCUCACUUGCCAAAGGAACAGACUUCACCUGAAAUAAUGCAAGCACAUUGAAAUUCGAUGCAGAAGAUGUAGAAUCUGAAGUAGGAUUAAACAAUGAUGCCGCUAAUAAAUGAAAACUGCUAUGGCACACCACUCUUUUAACUCCUCAGAUACUAUUGAAUUUCAUUACUCAAAAAGGUUUUAAGGAGUUGUAGCAACGUCAAAAACAAGAGUGCAACUGUAAAUCGAGAAAUCUCAAUCGACAAUAGUAACUAUUAUAAAUGAUUUGAAGUACUCACCAAAUCACGGAACUUUAGAAUGUAGAACAUCUCAAGGUACCUCCGGGUCUCACGCCUCUCAAGUUUUGAAACAUACUUCCAGAAAC